CCUACGGGAGGCAGCAGUAAGGAAUAUUGGUCAAUGGAGGCAACUCUGAACCAGCCAUGCCGCGUGCAGGAUGACGGCCCUAUGGGUUGUAAACUGCUUUUAUACAAGAGAAAACCCUGGUACGUGUACCAGGUUGAUAGUAUUGUAAGAAUAAGCAUCGGCUAACUUCGUGCCAGCAGCCGCGGUAAGACGAAGGAUGCAAGCGUUAUCCGGAUUCAUUGGGUUUAAAGGGUGCGUAGGCGGACUGAUAAGUCAGUGGUGAAAUCUCUUUGCUUAACAAAGAAACUGCCAUUGAUACUGUCGGUCUAGAGUAUAGAUGACGUUGGCGGAAUAUGACAUGUAGUGGUGAAAUACUUAGAUAUGUCAUAGAACACCGAUUGCGAAGGCAGCUAACGAAACUAUAACUGACGCUGAGGCACGAAAGUGCGGGGAUCAAACAGGAUUAGAUACCCUGGUAGUCCGCACCGUAAACGAUGAUUACUCGUUGUUGGUCGAUAUGACAGUCAGCGACCAAGCGAAAGCGAUAAGUAAUCCACCUGGGGAGUACGCCGGCAACGGUUGAAACGUCAAANAGAGUAGAGNGNGAGAGNGCGAGGCGACGACGAGGGAGAGG
rnacentral:rRNA from 1 species